rnacentral:rRNA from 1 species
UUCCGGUUGAUCCUGCCGGAGGCCAUUGCUAUCGGAGUCCGAUUUAGCCAUGCUAGUCGUGCGAGUUCAGACUCGCGGCACCGAGCUCAGUAACACGUGGCCAAACUACCCUGUAGAGACGUAUAACCUCGGGAAACUGAGGCUAAUCCGUCAUACCGGUUGAACGGUUGAAACCCAUCAACCUCUAAACGCCCCGGCGCUACAGGACGUGGCUGCGGCCGAUUAGGUUGACGGUGGGGUAACGGCCCACCG